CCUGAAUGGUCUCUUAUGCGUGUAGCUGCAUGAACCAGAGAUACCAUAAGAGUAUGGAAUUCCUGAGUACCCUUCACUCUCCAUGAUACGUAUGUACAAUGUACUUAGAUGAUUCCCAUGUAUCUCAUAGUAUCAUAUAUGGUCGCUAUGACCAACCCUCAUGUCGGCAAAUAUAAGUUUUCACUGUCCGUCUAUUGGAUUCGCACCUUUAUGGUUAGCUAUCACACCCCGCC
rnacentral:lncRNA from 1 species